UACGUAGGGUCCAAGCGUUGUCCGGAUUUAUUGGGCGUAAAGAGCUCGUAGGCGGUUUCGUAAGUCGGAUGUGAAAACUCAGGGCUCAACCCGGAGACGCCAUCCGAUACUGCGAUGACUUGAGUCUGGUAGGGGAACACGGAAUUCCUGGUGUAGCGGUGAAAUGCGCAGAUAUCAGGAGGAACACCGAUGGCGAAGGCAGUGUUCUGGGCCAGUACUGACGCUGAGACGCGAAAGCCAGGGGAGCGAACGGG
rnacentral:rRNA from 1 species